rfam:Salmo salar isolate Sally breed double haploid chromosome ssa13, whole genome shotgun sequence.
UGGCUCAGUUGGUAGAGCAUAGUGCUUGCAACGCCAGGGUUGUGGGUUCAAUUCCCAU